GAUGGAGAUGACCUGGAUGAAGGAGGUUCACUCCAACCUGGACAAACCUGUGGUGCCUUAAGGAUAUAAUCUAGUCUCUACCCAGAAAGAGCUCCCGGGUUAGACCUGCACUCUUACCUUGAAGCCUCUAAGAAGUAUAAGGUCUUUGUCCGAGAAAUAGUUGUUUGUUUUAACCAGUACUUUAAAAUAAAGCCUGAGACAUUGAUGAUCUCAUGCUGUCCUGGUGAAUAUAAUGGAGAAGUGAGUGGAGAGGAUUUGGAGCCUGCAAGAGUAUGAAAAUUCACACCUCUGUUUCUUCCUUAACUCAAAAAUGGAAAUGUACUUUCUACAAAUAUGGAAAGUGGCAGGAUGUGUGUAUAGAAAUUUAUGCUCAAGUCUGAAUCGCCUUCACAGUUCCUGUGGAGGAACUGGCCAUUGUUUCCCAGAGUGAAAGAACAGCUAAGCCCAUCUCCAGCUAACUGAGGAGUCUGCUCGGAACUGCUUGACUUUACAGGUCAAGCUGAGGAAGUGAGAGAAGGUCUUUGCAGAUUCUCCAUUACACUCUUCGGUAUUAUAUAAUACUUUGGGAUAAUGUUUUAAAUAACUACACUGAUAUUAUUCACUUUCAAUAGUUUAAGGUUUGUAUUAAAAAUAAUCCUGGGGACUGGAGAAAUGGCUCAGUGGGGAAGAGCACCUGCUGCUCCUGUAGAGGGCCAGUAUGUUUUCCAGAAGCUGUAUCAGAUGGUUCACCAUGGCCUGUAACUUGUGUUCUAGGGCAUCCAAUGGCCUGGACUUCAUCAGCACCUGUAUGCUUGUAUACAUACUCAUGUAAAAUACAUAAAGGAAAAUAGAAUAGAAAUGUUUAAAGUAA